rnacentral:rRNA from 1 species
UUAAGCGACUAAGCGUACACGGUGGAUGCCCUGGCAGUCAGAGGCGAUGAAGGACGUGCUAAUCUGCGAAAAGCGUCGGUAAGGUGAUAUGAACCGUUAUAACCGGCGAUGUCCGAAUGGGGAAACCCAGUGUGAUUCGUCACACUAUCGUUAACUGAAUACAUAGGUUAACGAGGCGAACCGGGGGAACUGAAACAUCUAAGUACCCCGAGGAAAAGAAAUCAACCGAGAUUCCCCCAGUAGCGGCGAGCGAACGGGGAGCAGCCCAGAGUCUGAAUCAGCUUGUGUGUUAGUGGAACGGUCUGGAAAGUCCGACGGUACAGGGUGAUAGUCCCGUACACCAAAAUGCACAGGCUGUGAACUCGAAGAGUAGGGCGGGACACGUGGUAUCCUGUCUGAAUAUGGGGGGACCAUCCUCCAAGGCUAAAUACUCCUGACUGACCGAUAGUGAACCAGUACCGUGAGGGAAAGGCGAAAAGAACCCCGGCGAGGGGAGUGAAAAAGAACCUGAAACCGUGUACGUACAAGCAGUGGGAGCACCUUCGGGUGUGACUGCGUACCUUUUGUAUAAUGGGUCAGCGACUUAUAUUCUGUAGCAAGGUUAACCGUAUAGGGGAGCCGCAGGGAAACCGAGUCUUAACUGGGCGUUAAGUUGCAGGGUAUAGACCCGAAACCCGGUGAUCUAGCCAUGGGCAGGUUGAAGGUUGGGUAACACUAACUGGAGGACCGAACCGACUAAUGUUGAAAAAUUAGCGGAUGACUUGUGGCUGGGGGUGAAAGGCCAAUCAAACCGGGAGAUAGCUGGUUCUCCCCGAAAGCUAUUUAGGUAGCGCCUCGUGAACUCAUCUUCGGGGGUAGAGCACUGUUUCGGCUAGGGGGUCAUCCCGACUUACCAACCCGAUGCAAACUACGAAUACCGAAGAAUGUUAUCACGGGAGACACACGGCGGGUGCUAACGUCCGUCGUGAAGAGGGAAACAACCCAGACCGCCAGCUAAGGUCCCAAAGUCAUGGUUAAGUGGGAAACGAUGUGGGAAGGCACAGACAGCCAGGAUGUUGGCUUAGAAGCAGCCAUCAUUUAAAGAAAGCGUAAUAGCUCACUGGUCGAGUCGGCCUGCGCGGAAGAUGUAACGGGGCUAAACCAUGCACCGAAGCUGCGGCAGCGACACUAUGUGUUGUUGGGUAGGGGAGCGUUCUGUAAGCCUGCGAAGGUGUGCUGUGAGGCAUGCUGGAGGUAUCAGAAGUGCGAAUGCUGACAUAAGUAACGAUAAAGCGGGUGAAAAGCCCGCUCGCCGGAAGACCAAGGGUUCCUGUCCAACGUUAAUCGGGGCAGGGUGAGUCGACCCCUAAGGCGAGGCCGAAAGGCGUAGUCGAUGGGAAACAGGUUAAUAUUCCUGUACUUGGUGUUACUGCGAAGGGGGGACGGAGAAGGCUAUGUUAGCCGGGCGACGGUUGUCCCGGUUUAAGCAUGUAGGCUGGUUGUCCAGGCAAAUCCGGAUAAUCAAGGCUGAGGUGUGAUGACGAGGCACUACGGUGCUGAAGUAACAAAUGCCCUGCUUCCAGGAAAAGCCUCUAAGCAUCAGGUAACAUCAAAUCGUACCCCAAACCGACACAGGUGGUCAGGUAGAGAAUACCAAGGCGCUUGAGAGAACUCGGGUGAAGGAACUAGGCAAAAUGGUGCCGUAACUUCGGGAGAAGGCACGCUGGUGUGUAGGUGAAGCCCCUGCGGGUGGAGCUGAGACCAGUCGAAGAUACCAGCUGGCUGCAACUGUUUAUUAAAAACACAGCACUGUGCAAACACGAAAGUGGACGUAUACGGUGUGACGCCUGCCCGGUGCCGGAAGGUUAAUUGAUGGGGUUAUCCGUAAGGAGAAGCUCUUGAUCGAAGCCCCGGUAAACGGCGGCCGUAACUAUAACGGUCCUAAGGUAGCGAAAUUCCUUGUCGGGUAAGUUCCGACCUGCACGAAUGGCGUAAUGAUGGCCAGGCUGUCUCCACCCGAGACUCAGUGAAAUUGAACUCGCUGUGAAGAUGCAGUGUACCCGCGGCAAGACGGAAAGACCCCGUGAACCUUUACUAUAGCUUGACACUGAACAUUGAGCCUUGAUGUGUAGGAUAGGUGGGAGGCUUUGAAGCGUGGACGCCAGUCUGCGUGGAGCCAACCUUGAAAUACCACCCUUUAAUGUUUGAUGUUCUAACGUUGGCCCCUUACCGGGGUUGCGGACAGUGUCUGGUGGGUAGUUUGACUGGGGCGGUCUCCUCCCAAAGCGUAACGGAGGAGCACGAAGGUUAGCUAAUCCUGGUCGGACAUCAGGAGGUUAGUGCAAUGGCAUAAGCUAGCUUGACUGCGAGCGUGACGGCGCGAGCAGGUGCGAAAGCAGGUCAUAGUGAUCCGGUGGUUCUGAAUGGAAGGGCCAUCGCUCAACGGAUAAAAGGUACUCCGGGGAUAACAGGCUGAUACCGCCCAAGAGUUCAUAUCGACGGCGGUGUUUGGCACCUCGAUGUCGGCUCAUCACAUCCUGGGGCUGAAGUAGGUCCCAAGGGUAUGGCUGUUCGCCAUUUAAAGUGGUACGCGAGCUGGGUUUAGAACGUCGUGAGACAGUUCGGUCCCUAUCUGCCGUGGGCGCUGGAGAAUUGAGGGGGGCUGCUCCUAGUACGAGAGGACCGGAGUGGACGCAUCACUGGUGUUCGGGUUGUCAUGCCAAUGGCACUGCCCGGUAGCUAAAUGCGGAAGAGAUAAGUGCUGAAAGCAUCUAAGCACGAAACUUGCCCCGAGAUGAGUUCUCCCUGAGACUAUAAGUCUCCUGAAGGAACGUUAAAGACGAUGACGUUGAUAGGCCGGGUGUGUAAGCGCAGCGAUGCGUUGAGCUAACCGGUACUAAUGAACCGUGAGGCUUAACCUU